AGAGAAAGAGGGAGGCAGGCCUAACACAUGCAAGUCGAACGAACUCUUCGGAGUUAGUGGCGGACGGGUGAGUAACACGUGGGAACGUGCCUUUUGGUUCGGAAUAACUCAGGGAAACUUGUGCUAAUACCGACUGUGCCCUUCGGGGGAAAGCUUUCUCGCCCUUAGAGCGGCCCGCGUCUGCUUCGCUCGUUGGUGCGGUCCCGGCUCACCCAGGCGCCGAUCCGUAGCUGGUCUGAGAGGAUGACCAGCCACACUGGGACUGAGACACGGCCCAGACGCCGACGGGAGGCAGCAGGGGGGAAGCGGGCGCAAGGGGCGAAAGCCGGACGCAGCCAUGCCGCGUGAAUGAUGAAGGUCUUAGGAUUGGAAAAGGCUGGCACCGGGGACGAGAAUGACGGGACCCGGAGAAGAAGCCCCGGCUAACUGCGUG
rnacentral:rRNA from 1 species